UUUCAGUUGAGAGGAUAUUUUCAGCCAUGUCUAUUAUAAAAACAGAUUUGCGUAGUAAAAUAGGUGAUGAAUGGCUCAAUGACUUGAUGAUUUGCUAUAAUGAGAAGGAGAUAUUUAGAAAGAUUGGUAAUGAAAAGAUCAAAAAGAGGUUUGAAGAGAUGAAAAAUCGUCGUAUGUUAUUGCCUAAAAAAUUGAUGAUUGCUUCUUCGGAUGAAUAAUGGGUACUGGUCACCGUCACGCGCUGCGUCUAUUAGUUUCAUAACUUGGUUUUUCGGUAUGGAUAAACCACAUUUUUUAUUUUUCAUAAUGUAUUUUGUGAUUUUCAUUGUCCAUCGAUGUUUUAAUAUAAGACUACUUCAAACUAUUAUAUUCGUCUUUUUUAGGUGU